UACGUAGGGUGCGAGCGUUGUCCGGAAUUAUUGGGCGUAAAGAGCUUGUAGGCGGUUUGUCGCGUCUGCCGUGAAAAUCCGGGGCUCAACCCCGGACUUGCGGUGGGUACGGGCAGACUAGAGUGUGGUAGGGGAGACUGGAAUUCCUGGUGUAGCGGUGAAAUGCGUAGAUAUCGAGAGGAACACCUGCGGCGAAGGCGGGUUGCUGGGCUGACACUGACGCUGAUGCGCGAAAGCUAGGGGAGCGAACGGG
rnacentral:rRNA from 1 species